GAUGAACGCUGGCGGCGUGCCUAAUACAUGCAAGUCGAGCGAACGGACGAGAAGCUUGCUUCUCUGAUGUUAGCGGCGGACGGGUGAGUAACACGUGGAUAACCUACCUAUAAGACUGGGAUAACUUCGGGAAACCGUAGCUAAUACCGGAUAAUCUUUUGAACCGCAUGGUUCAAAAGUGAAAGUCGGUCUUGCUGUCACUAAUAGCUGGUUCCGCGCUGCAUUAGCUGGUUGGUAAGCUAACGGCUUACCAAGGCAACGAUGCAUAGCCGACCUGAGAGGGUGAUCGGCCACACGGGAACUGAGACACGGUCAAGACUCCUACGGGAGGCACCAGUAGGGAAUCUGCCGCAAAGGGCGAAAGCCUGACGGAGCAACGCCGCGUGAGUGAUGAAGGUCUUCGGAUCGUAAAACUCUGUUAUUAGGGAAGAACAGAUGUGUAAGUAACUGUGCAGAUAUUGACGGUACCUAAUCAGAAAGCAACGGCUAACUACGUG
rnacentral:rRNA from 1 species